rnacentral:lncRNA from 1 species
CUUUUCACCAUAGAUUCGUGAUCAAUACACUGUUGAACAUUGCAGGCUAAUAAAAUUAAAGUUUAAAACCCAUUUUAAUAUGCCCUGGACACGAAAUAGUUAAACCACAUGUUAAUACGACGAGCAGGUUUCGAAAUAAUUAAACCCGUUAAAUGCCGAAACAUGACAUAACCAUGUGAUGUGUCGCUUGACGACACGUGGAUCAGCUAAAACACACACACAAGAGUACGCAAUCGGCAAUUGGCCGCAUUCCGAACUACUAACAUAGCGCCUGUGCCAUAUAAUCGUGUAGUGCAUGCCACGGCACAUCUUCUUCGACCACUACAUCUCGUUCGACGGCCAUUUCAUCCUGUUCGUCUGGUAGCUCUAUUUCAACUUCGUCGUCAUCUACGUCUUCGACUCUUUGGAACCCCUGAUCUAGAUAGUCGUUUCGUGGAAGGAAAUUGUGUAUUCCUAUCGUUGCCACAACGAUAGCAGUUUGAGCCCGCAUACUGUACCUCGGCAUUCGAUCAAGAAUCUUUCACACUUUUUUCAAACAUCGAACGCACAUUCGAUCACGUUUCGACACGCUGAGUGAUGGAAAUUAAACCGUUCCCGUGCAUUUCGAAAACGACGAUGUUGCCCACCUCCAACAGUGCUGAAUUCUUGGAAAUGAUAUCUAAUGUCGGAACCCUUAUAAGGAGCCAUAUACUCAGGCUUGUGUGAGAAUCCGGAGUCCACCAAGUAAUAUUUUUCGUUCGUCGGUUCCGAAAAAUUUACCUUUGGACUAUGUACAGCUCGGGUCAAGAUGCGACUGUCAUGGGUGUUCCCUGUGUGACCCGACAAUAUGAAUGUGAAACAAAGAUUGAAAUCGCAUGCGACCAACGCAUUCUGUGUCAGAAUCCCUUUCCUACCAAUAAAAUUCGCUCUUUGAUGUCGUGGCAGUACAGCUCUCACAUACGCACCGUCUAUUGCACCAAUGUAAUCCUAAAAUAGUGGAUAGGGCUUCGGAUCUGGGUGAUAGUGUGUAGCACCUUUGUUGUACCUCGGAUCUGGUUUCACCAUUUCCGCCGCAAACGCUAAGCAUGCUUGAAGGACCUUUUUGAAAUAGUGACACAUGGUCUGCAAUGAAUGAUCGAAAAGAAUUUGCACCUGCCAAUAUCUUUUUCCAUGCUCUAGCAUACAUAAGAACAUGCCGACCUGUUCGUAUAUAUCUACGUUUGUACUGCUCGAAAUGUCGUACUCGUCACUCAGAAUAUGCGUGAAGUGCGUAAACAUCGGUGGAUACAUCCUGAACUCCUGAAAACUCUUUUGGGGAUAAACAUGCAUAUUUUGCAGCAUGAAAAUGUGACCGCAUCGCGUUGUUGAAAACAAAUACCGACGUGCUACAUUUGGUGCUAAGUAUGCAUGCACGAUGCACUCAACAAUUCCACAAUACUCCAACCACGUGAUUAUGUCUUCCUCCAACUGCUGCAACACCUAGACAUCAGAGCUCGUAUCCCAUUCGGAAAUAAGCUCGAUGUCACAAUCUGUUUCUGACAACGCGAACAUAGGUGACAAAGCGUCCGCCAUGAACUUCAACUCAAGGUCGAUGGUAUACAGUUAUGAAAGGAGUGGCUGUCAAAAAAAUUGUGGGACAGGUAGGUCGUAGAAACAAUCUUAACAAAUUG